AACGUAGGUGGCGAGCGUUAUCCGGAUUUACUGGGCGUAAAGCGUGUGCAGGCGGGGGUACAAGUGGUGUAUGAAAUCGACCCGGCUUAACCGGGCUCUGUUAUGCCAGACUGUACCUCUGGAGUGCGAGAGAGGGCGUGGAAUUCCGGGUGUAGUGGUGAAAUGCGUAGAGAUCCGGAGGAACCCAGAGGCCGAAGGCGGC
rnacentral:rRNA from 1 species